UAGAUAUAUAAGAAAGAAAUGUUCAUAUUUCUUUCUUUUGAAUUUUUUAUUUGUUUAGUAGUACAUGUUUGUAGUAUAUAUUGUUUACAUUCUUUGUGGGGAGUUGGUACAUGUACAUAACACACCUUAAUUUAUUUUUUUCGUCUUCUUCCUCUUCUACCAUCCCCUCUCCCUCUGUCUCCUGUUCCACUUUCCACUUGAGAAAGAUAUAGCUUCCUACUCCCUGUUAUAUAACUUUUAUUUUAUCUUUAUUUAUAAUUUUCAUAUAAGAGAAACCAUGUGAUAUUUAAGCUCCUGUGUCUGAUUUAUUUCACAUAUAGUCUCAAGGUACAUCCAUUUUCCCACAAAUGGCUCAAGUAUAUCCUUUCUGGCAGAAUAAUAUUUCCAUUGUGUGUUUUCUAGUUUCUGUUUUUUAAGGAACCUCCAUACUGAUUUCUAUAGCGGUUGUACCAGUUUACAUUCCCACCAAAAAUAUUGAAGUGUUUCUUUUUCCCUAAUCCUCACCGGCAUUUGCUGUUAUCUGAUUUCUUGAUGAUGGCCAUUAUUUCUGUGGUAAGGUGAAAUCUCAAUGUUUUAAUUUGCAUUUCUCUAAUGGCCUGCAACACUGAACAAUUUUUCAUGUAUCUAUUGAUCAUUUGUACUUCUGAGAAAUGUCUGUUCAUUUCACUUGCUUAUUUCUUUUAUUUAGGGGAAAUCUAAUAUAUUGAAUUCUUCAUAUAUUCUAGAUACUACUUCUCUGUCAGGAAUAACUGGAAAAAUGUAUCCUAUUCUGUACAUUGCCAUUUCAUUCUGUUGGUUGUUUCUUUUGCUGUACAGAAGCUGUUAAAUUUGAUAUGCCGCAUUUAUUGGUUCUUAAUUUAUUGGUUCUUAUUUCCUCCACUAUGGGGUAGUUAGUUCAUUUUUAGAACAAAACUAAGGGAAACUAUGAACAAUGACAGGCAAGGUUAAGAAAUACUGUGAAAGAUAAGUAAUAAGUAAAAAGCCACUAGAUUUUUCCAUUUAGAAAAUAAGUGUUGAGUCUUCAGUAGAAAGCUGUUGAUAAAAUGUUGGGAGCUAAGAAGAGAAGAAGACAAGAAAGAUUUGGGAGUUGAUGGACAGUGGACCAUGUGUUUGAGGUUUAUUAAAGGAAAUAGUAGUUUAUAAAAUACAGUGAGAAAAAUCAUUGUGUCUUUUCUGAGGAGGAAAUCUGUUUUCCUCUAGAGAGGAAGUUAAUAAAAAGACAAUAAUUGAAAACACAGGUUCAAAAGAGAUGGAGAAGGUUGGAAUAGAUACAUUUAACAUGACUUCUAUAUGAGUAAGGGCUCUUGUUUUGGACAGAAAAGAGAAGGUGACAAAUGAGAGUUUUAGGGAAAGAACAGGGAUUCUGGUGGAGUCUUCAUUAGGAUCUAUCUUCACCUCAAAAUAGAAUGAGAGGGGUCACUCAGCGGAGAGUAUGAGCAAAUGUCAAGUUGAGAAUUUGUGAAAACCUGAGAAUUGUUUAUUGUGUUGAUAAAACAUAUUUAAAAGUUAUUUAGGGGCCAGGAUUUAGCUCAGUGGUUCCGCCACCUGCCUCGCAAGCGCAAGGACCUGAGUUUGAUCCCCAGUAAAAAAAAAAAAAAAAGUGAUUUAGUACUUGUGUUACCUUAUCAUAAAUUAUAACACAGGGAUUGAACCUUGAAAAAUUAAAUUUCUUUGUUCUUAAUAUUCUCAGUUUCAACUACCUGAGAAUAGAUAUAUAAGAAAGAAAUGUUCAUAUUUCUUUCUUUUGAAUUUUUUAUUUGUUUAGUAGUACAUGUUUGUAGUAUAUAUUGUUUACAUUCUUUGUGGGGAGUUGGUACAUGUACAUAACACACCUUAAUUUAUUUUUUUCGUCUUCUUCCUCUUCUACCAUCCCCUCUCCCUCUGUCUCCUGUUCCACUUUCCACUUGAGAAAGAUAUAGCUUCCUACUCCCUGUUAUAUAACUUUUAUUUUAUCUUUAUUUAUAAUUUUCAUAUAAGAGAAACCAUGUGAUAUUUAAGCUCCUGUGUCUGAUUUAUUUCACAUAUAGUCUCAAGGUACAUCCAUUUUCCCACAAAUGGCUCAAGUAUAUCCUUUCUGGCAGAAUAAUAUUUCCAUUGUGUGUUUUCUAGUUUCUGUUUUUUAAGGAACCUCCAUACUGAUUUCUAUAGCGGUUGUACCAGUUUACAUUCCCACCAAAAAUAUUGAAGUGUUUCUUUUUCCCCUAAUCCUCACCGGCAUUUGCUGUUAUCUGAUUUCUUGAUGAUGGCCAUUAUUUCUGUGGUAAGGUGAAAUCUCAAUGUUUUAAUUUGCAUUUCUCUAAUGGCCUGCAACACUGAACAAUUUUUCAUGUAUCUAUUGAUCAUUUGUACUUCUGAGAAAUGUCUGUUCAUUUCACUUGCUUAUUUCUUUUAUUUAGGGGAAAUCUAAUAUAUUGAAUUCUUCAUAUAUUCUAGAUACUACUUCUCUGUCAGGAAUAACUGGAAAAAUGUAUCCUAUUCUGUACAUUGCCAUUUCAUUCUGUUGGUUGUUUCUUUUGCUGUACAGAAGCUGUUAAAUUUGAUAUGCCGCAUUUAUUGGUUCUUAAUUUAUUGGUUCUUAUUUCCUCCACUAUGGGUUUUUUUUUUCCUGCACUAUGGGGGUUCUUUUCAAAAAAUCCUUGCUUAUGCCUAUGAAUUCAAGAAUUUACCCUAGUUAAUUUCCAGCAAAUUGUUUCUGUUUAUUACUUGGCUCUUUAAUUGACUUUGAUUUAAUUUAGUACAUGAUGAGAGAUAUGGUCUAAAUUCAACCUUCUGCACAUGAAUAGCCACUUUUCCCAGCACCAUUUAGUAAAGAGGCUUUCAUCUCAUGUAUAUUUUUGUCACCUUUGCAAAAAUCAAAUAGUUGAGUGUGCUUUGGGUUGUUUCUGUAUCCUGUAUUGUGUUCCAUUGAUGCACAUUUUUUUUUGUAGCCAGCCAUGCUAUUUUUAUUAUUGUAGCUUUAUAAUAAAACUUCAGAUCUGGGAUUAUGAUGUUAUGAUGCCUCCUACUUUACUCUUGUUACCCUACUUUUGGACUCUGGUUCUCUUUUGGCAACUCAUGAAUUUUAAGAUUGUUUUCUCUAGUUCUAUGAAGAAUGCUGUUGGUAUUUCUUGUAAUUGUGUUAAAUCUGUAUAUCAAUUUUGGAAGUAUGCUCAUUUUGUCUAUAUUGCUUCUGACUAUUCAGGAAAAUGGAAUAUCUUUCCAUCUUUGAUCUCCUUUUUCAGAAUACUAGUUUUCAUUGUUGAAGUCUUUUGUUGGCUUAGGUUAUUUCUUAAGUAUUUAAUUUUUCUUAAUACUAUUGUGAAUGGUAGUUUUUAAAUUUUUCUCUCAGUGAGUUCAUUAUUGGUGUAUAGAAACACUUGAUUUUUGUGUAUUGAUUUUGUAUCUUACUACAUUGCUGAAUUUGUUAUUUCUAGGAGUCUAUUGGUGUAUUUUGAGGGGGGUCUUCUACUUAGAGAAUGAUUAUAUUUCUACAAGGAUAGUGAUGUAGCAGAAGGUAAUGACCUUGCGGUAUUAGAAAAAUCAUCAUUAAAAAGGAUCCCUGAGAAUAAUAAAACAAAGUUAAGAGAAUUAAGAAUAUACACUGACUAUCAGGGUGAUAGAAAAUGAGUUUAUUGAGUAGUAAGCAAUUCUUUGUUCCCUGUCAAAAUUUUUUAAGACUGAUGUUCAGAGAGUGGUUCACCAAUGUCAAAUAUUGUACUUUUGAGGUUCAAAUACAUAAUUAUAUUCACACAACUAUAGGAUACCCUUUAGCUCCACAUAUGUUGAUCUCUUUUUCUAUAGUUAAGUCAGCCUGUGGUAUCUGUAGCUUGGGGGUGGCAGUGUUCUUGACCACAUUUUUGACAACAUUAUUCAGUGUAAUUUAGUUUUGAGUUUUCUCCUAUCAAACUGAUUUCCAGAAUGAGGGAGGGAAAAAGAGAGGGGAAGAGAAGAAGAAGAAGAGGAAGAAAAAAGAAGAAGGAGGAGGAGGAAGAAGAAAGAAAAAAGAAAAGAAAGAAAAAGGAAGGAAGGAAGAAAAAAUAGAAGGAAAGGAAGGAAGAGAGGAGAGAAGGAGAAGAGAAAAGAAGAAAAAACUAGUUAGAGAUGAGGAUGAGGAAGGUAUCAUGAUUAAGGAGGAAAAAAUUAAAAGGGUGGUAAAGGAAUUGAAAAUGAUGAAGAUAUGUUAUAUGCAUGCACUAAUUCACCAAAAUGAACAAUCAUUAUUCUAUACUGCAAACAUAGUCUAAAACAUAAAGUAAAAUCAAAGUCUAAUAGGUCAGUGCCUUUACAAGUAGUUUUCCUUUUACAUAAUUAUUUCCAUAUGGAAAGGUGGCUCUUGCUAAACCACGAACUGGUUAUAAGUCAGUCAUACCCAAUCAUUUUAUGAAUUUAGUAUGGCUGUACAUAGAUUCUACAAAACAAACUGACUCUUCUUUUGGAACCACCUGGUAAAAAACUGUUAGAUUAAAAGAAGAAAUUUAACUUGGAUUAACUUUUGAGUUAAGAAAUGGAGAAAUUAGUUUUUUAAAUAUAAAAUCAUAAUCCUAAACUGGAUAUUGACCAAAUAAAUUUGUGUAUAACUGAAUUCAAUAUUAAAAUUAAUAACUAAAACCUUAAUAUGUCCAAGAAAGGUAUAAAGUCGCAAUCAACCUAAGAGUUGAGUAUAAUUGCUGAAAUUAUUAUAAUAGUAAUUUUUAUUUACUGUACUCAGUUUCCAGAAUAGGAUCUUGACUUAUGGAUAGAGAAUUCUAUCCAUGGUACAAUGAGGUGACAAUGGAAAAAGAAAGAAUGAGCAUUUUGAGGCAGCAGACCCAGAAACUUGGUAAAAAGAAGGCCUGGCUUACAUGAAGGGAAACCAAGAAACGUAUAUGUGAAUAUGUACGUGCAGCAUAUCUACUUAAGUACAGCUCUAACUUUGGUGCUCCACAGCAGUUCACAGGUACUCAAAUGUUUGGCUAAAAAGUGCUUUGCAUGUGACAAUUGUGAGUUGUGUGUUAAAUCAAGCUCCAAGAAAAGAGUACUUGCUCUGUGGUGCUUUCAAUUCCCAAAGAGUAUAUUUAGAUGGCACAGCUGGUGAACUGGUAAAGGCACCUCAGGAAGGCAGUUGUUUGGCUGCUGUGAUGGGACCAGUAGUAUUUAAAUUUUUACAUAUUCCUCCCAUUUAAUUUCCACAUUUCCCUACUUUCAAAACUUCUCUUUGUUUUGCUCAUCCUGUUUAUACUUCUGUUAAUUCCUUUGCAGACCUCAGAUUUUAGGCCCUCCUUCUGGGCUAAAACUCUUCUUCCUCAAAGCCCAUUUUAAAUUUCCUUAAAGGAGGUAAGAUAGGAAAAACAUCUAGGACAUUAAAUAUAUAUUAAAGUUUUAAUACACUGGCUGAAAUGAAUUUUAUCUUGAUUCCCAGAUUCCCUGUUCCCUGAAUUCUUAGCAUGUGGUGGCAUUUCCCAGGGACUGUUUUUAAAGUUGUUCAUUGUUAUGAACAUUUCACCUAUAUUUUAUUUCCUAAUUAUACUAUUAUACAAUCUUAAAGCUCAAUUCUUUAUAUUCCAUGCUUGCUUGCUUUUUUAAAAAAAAAUACAAUGUAGUGUAUAGCAGAGUUAUACAUAGAAUAUUUUGUUAAUUUUUGCAUGAACAAAUAAUCUUUCCUAUAAAAGUAUUUUACCUAAUGUAUAUAAUUAUCCCUCAAUAUUUUGUCUUUCAGUUUUAUAUAAGGUUCAUGUAAUUCAGUUCACUGACUCCAACAUACUGAAAUUAUAAUGUAGUUUUUGUUACGUUGUUGCUUAAAGUAGGAGAGCAGAUCAGAUUUAGCUAUUUUAUUGUGCAGUUUUGGAAACAAGACUGUCAGAUGACUUUAACUUACUGAAGACUAUGAAGGAAAGCAAUAGUUACAGGCAAGGCAAAAGCCACAUAAAUCUUUAGCAGGGCUGACUUCUACCCUAAAAUGUGUUGCCUGACUUUCCUUCCCUUGACUGUAGAAAUUGGGUUUGUCUAGAUUUUCUACAAUACAAGUUUGAGGCAUAGGAAUAAUUUCAUUACUUCUGAAUCUAAGUCACUUUCACACUUAAUUCUUCAUAAAAGUGUUUUCCGGGGUAUGACAAGAAUUAAAAUUUCUUAUGUUUGGACUCUUACAGUAAAGAGGUGGAAAAUAGAAUUAACUGCAACGAAAUGGUGUGUUAUGCAUCACUUUAGAAAUUAUUCUCUUUUUUUCUUUUAUUGAGCUACAGUUUUUCCUCAUGACUGACCUUCAGAUGAUUCUGAAUAUUACUUUCUGUCACAGAGCUUAGUAGACCAGUGUCUGGCCUUCCUAGGUUAUGAAACUACAAAUUGACAUUCCUAAGGCUUAUGGAUGAGGUCAUGAAGGUCUUUUAAUGGAGACUUACAAAUUGAAUAGUCAAAAUUUGCUAUCUGAAAGUUAGCAUCCACCUAUAAUCAAAGUCCAUUUGUGCUCUGGCCUUGAUAAUUUUAGUGAUGGCUUAUUAUGAGCUGAUUUUAGCAGGUAUCUGUAUUCCAUAAAAGGCAAUACUAUUAGAAAAUUGAGCAACAUAAGAAAUAUAUAGUCAUCAACUUUUCAUGAAGUUCCUUGAAAUAUAUCAAGUCAGCUGUUCAAGAAAUGUUAUAUUUUAAUGGCAUACUGAGAGACUGUGUCAACUAUUACAACACCACUAUCAUGUUCUUGCACAAAAUGACAAUGAACAGAAAGUAUAUCAGAUGGUACUUUCUCUUUAUAGUUAGAAAUCGAUUUUAAGAGACAAUGGAGCAAGUGGUUAUAAGUAUAAAAUUUAGAGGAGGGUAAGUGGGAAUAUUUCAAAUGAUUAUUUUUCUGACCCAGGAUAUUAUUUGAUCACAAAAUGGGGUAGAAUAUAGAUUCACCAAAGGAACAAUCAGUUAUCGACUAAAUCAGGUGAAAUAGCAUAAAGACACAAUUAUAGGCAUGAACAUUGCAUGCCAGGGGUCAGAGAGACAUUCAGACACUCAGAGGCAGAGGAGAACACAUGUCGUGCGAUUGGGGGGGUGAGGAUAAAGACAUAGAUUUAUGAAAGACUUCUCAGAACUGUAUAGUGAGCCCCAUGAAGAAUAAAUAUUGUUUAUGUUUCUAAGCAAUGGAAUUAGAAAAUGACAUCAUUCUUCUGCAAAGAUUAAUCAUAUCUGUGUCCUAAAAUGAUUGAAAGGGGAUAGAGGUGAGAAUUGGAAUUAAUAUUCACAGAUUUCAACUGAACUAAUGCUGAGAAAGAAAAGAGGAUGGAGAGGAAAGUAUAAAUAUGAGACAUUUUGAAAGAAGGCGCAGUCGAGCCUUACCAUAUAGCUAAAGAAAAUGGAAGUGAAAACACAGUCAGCAAUAUGCCAGCCUUACAAAUGGCUAAAUAUCUCUAAUGAGUAAUAAAAUGCUCACCAUGUUUUCUUAGCUCUGCCACCUUGAUGUUCAAUGAAUUUAUUCAUUGAAAGGCAAUGUGUCACUGCCAAGCUAGUGUGUAGGAGGCCACCAGGUAACAGGGAAGUGAUCUUUCCUGACACUGCUCUCACACACAGGAGCAUACACCUAUUACACACACAGGGUCCCCUGGGUGGCUGCAAAACAGGGAUUGAUGUGUUUUCAUUAUGUUGGGAAGAAUUUCAGUUUCCCAAAACUUAUUCUGUUAUUCAUUUACAAAAUCCCUUCUUUCAGUUUCAUGUCAUAUUUCAUCUCUCCUAACAGCUGCCAUUCUCCAAUCUUCUAUUAGACUCAGAAAAGUCUGAAGCAUUGAUACCUAAAUCAUUGGUUCCUCUGUAUGCCAUGAUCAGACAAAAGGAACUAGGGUCUGCCUCCGAAAUCUGAAAUCUAGUGUUUUGUAAGACCACAAUCUCUAAUUCUCUUCAUCUCCCUUACACCUGUGGUCCUCUUUGAUAAUGUCUCAGUAACCACCAGCCAUUUCUUCCUUCAAUAAAAGCACUUCAUAAACAACUGAUGCCCUUCAUUUUCUUGCAAAUCUCCUCUCAUGUCAACAAAGCCAGGCUACAAUCCUGAAUAUAUGCCACAAUCUACCACCUCCCUUUACCUAUUUGGGAUAUACUCUGAGAACAGCCAUGAUUGUUAACCUUAGUUCCUCAAAUCUACUUUCAGUAUGUCCACUCGAUGUCUGAAAACUAAUGUCAGUCUGCCACUUCCUUAAAUAUCUAUUAAUGAUUGCUGUGACUCCUGUGUAUAUUCGUGUUUCUUUUCACUGAAACAUGAAGGGUUAAAUCUAAUCCCUUACUUAACUAGAAAGCAGCUCUUACACUCCACCUUCUUCCAAUUUCCUCUAACAUUUUUUACUUCUCUUUUCUUCACCAGUGCCCCUCUGCUCUACCCUUGUGCAAUAUGCAAUUCUUCUUGAAUAACAGUGUCUAGAAGUUUUCCAGAUUGAGUAUUGUAAUCUGAGAAUUACAGAAAGAUUUAGAACUUGAAAACUUUGCUCCCUUGUUUAAGAAAGAAAGCAUAUGUAAAAACUCAAAACCAACCAAACAGAAAAUAAGUAAGGCUGUACUCAUUAAAAACACUUUCCUGGAAAGAGGACAGCAGAGUACUACCCUGGAAAAGCAAGGUAAUAAGUAUAUCUUACAUAUUCCAGUAUUUCCUCAUUUGCUUAAUACAAAUGAAUUCCAUUGUCACCAAAAAUGUUUAAAUUAUUAAAUCACAUUUUUAUGUAAGACAAGCUAUCCUAAAAAAGGAACCCAAAGGACAUAGAAAGUUCCAAAUAUAGAAUGUUCAUUAUCAUGCAAAAGUCAGUGUCUUUUGCCACCUAGCAUUUGCUUUGCCCCUCAUCCUCAUGAUACCCAGCCCAGUUUUCACAAGUGUUCAUUCUUUCAAAGUCCUCUCUCCCUCUGUGACCUCCAGGGUGAGCGUGAUUGUCUUAAGGAAUUCCCAUUCCAUUUAGCUCAGUUCAAUGCCCCAAACCUGAGCCAGUCAGUGAGUAGCAUUCUAUGGGCCCCAGAACUCAAGUACCAGGAUAACUGUAAUUCAUAAAAAUGAAAUUCCAGGCCGCGAGUCGCGCGGAACACACCAAAUCAGCCCGCUGCAGACAGGCAGGUCUGCGGACACCCUACCGAGGUCUCAAGUCGUGUGGAACAUGCCGAAUGAGCCCAUGCCCCGGCAACAAUCCACUGGACACCACCACCACCACCACCACCCCCAAACAGCUCCUCUGGUCUAUCCUUCUUCCCAUCUGUCCCUCCCUCCCCAACUCUUUCUAACUCCCUAUCCCAGAGGGUAAAGUUGUUAUAUUGAAGAGUUUUUUCACUAUAUGUUGGGUUGGUCCUCAAUCUUGAUUUAAUUCACACAGCUAAAGGUGAUAGAUUAAAAACUACCACAAAAUGUCAUUUUUGAAGAUGUACUUGAUGCAGUGGUGUUGCUGAUUGUAUCACUUGGCCUAAGGUGUUGUGAUUGAUCUAGUCAAUGAACCUUCCUAGUAUAAGGAAAAUGAGAUAGCCUUAGAGUCAUUAGAGACUCAAAACUUAAAGACCAGCUAUAUCUGGAAGACACCUCUGAGAAGCAAUCAGUCCAUAAGGGUUCUAAUUAUGAGCAACAAAGAUACCUACAAUAAGCAAUUUCAAACUAUCAACCCAGGAGUUAAACCAAGGACAGUGCCAAAAACAAAAAUGAGAAGACAUUUAAGCAAGGCACAAACUCAGACUUCCACCCCACCAAGGAUAAAUCCUGGGGGAAAUGAGAUGGAAAUGUCCCAUAACCAACCACCUGGACACCCUGAACUAAUAGCACAGGAAGUAACAAAACAGAUGAAUGAGGCUCUAGAAAAAUUCCAAGCAGAAAUAAUCUCCCAGAUAUCUACAGAGAUGGUGAGCAGAGUGAAAGACAUGAUUAGAGGAUCUAGAACAGAAACAGAUAAAAAAAUAGAUGAGCUCAGAAACAUGCUGGAAGCCAUGAAUGCCCAGCAUAAGAAAGAAAUGGAAACUAUGAUCGCCCAACAUAAGAAAGAAAUGGAAUCCAUGAAACAGAUUCAAACAGAUAUUCAGGAGAUCAAAAACUCCAUUGAAAGUAUCCACAGCAGAUUAAGGGAAUCUGAAGAUAGAAUAUCAGAUAUAGAAGACAGGAUUGUGGUUAGAGACCAUGAAAAUAGAGAUUUCUUAAAAAUAGUAAGGGACCACGAGAAAUCAAUCCAACAACUGCUAGACGAUGCAAAGAAGAAUAACAUAAGACUGAUAGGAGGAGUCCAUGAAAAAACAGGAGAAAGCACAAUUGACAUUAAAAAAAACCUGUUCACAGAGUAAUAGUGGAAAACUUCCCAGACAGAGGUAGAGAAUUGGACAUACAGAUAAGUGAAGCAUAUAGAACUCCAACUAGCCAUGAUCAAAAAAAAUCUACAUCUAGACAUAUAAUAGUCAAGAUCCCAGAAACCCAACAGAAAAACAAAAUCCUACAGGCAGAGAAAAGAAACGAAUCACCUAUAAAGGAAAGCCCAUCAGAAUCACGGCAGACUUCUCAACACAAACCCUCUAAUCAAAGAGAGCCUGGAGUGAAGUAUUUCAAGCCCUAAAAGAAAAUAACUUCCAACCUAGACUGUUGUAUCCUGCAAAAUUAUCUUUCAAAAUCGAUGGGGAAAUUAGAUACUUCCAUGCCAAAGAACACCUGAGAAAUUUCAUGAACACCAAACCGACACUACAAGCAAUUCUAAACAAUAUCCUAGAAACAAGUAAUGAAGGCCACAACUCCAUGAGGCCCAACAGAGGGAAGCCACCAGGCAAGAUAAGACACUAAAGGGAAAGGGGGGAAAAAAUAAGAAAUAAAAGAGCCAACAAAAAUGAAAUUCCAGGGAGUUUUUCUGGGGAUAAUGGAAAUGAGGUUUGGGGGUUUUAUAAGAAAGAAUUAAUGAAAAUGAAGUUUCCUGCUCUGCCCCACAUCUUGAUUUGUGGACAGAGAAAGUUUGGAAGUACUCCAGGCAUUUUGCAACCAUAACAGAAGGCAGUCCUGGGACUGGAAUCCCUGGAAGGGCACAGCUAAGGAAUCACAGCAAAAUAAAGCCAACACCACUAUAUUGGGAGAAGGAAAGUUUUCCUACCUCUUCAUAUCCAGCUACGUCCAACAAAUACAUGUCUAUCUGAUUGGAGUUAUGUAUGAUCUUUUCUUCUGUUGUAUAUACAAUAAAAUAUCUUGAGACAUAUAACUUUAAUUAGAUGUUAUUGAGAACAACCUAAAUGAUCAGGCAAAAAUUAAUAGAAAACAAAUCUUCUAAUAUUUGAAGAAGUAUUUUGCAUAUUUUAGGCAUUAUAACCAUGAGGACUUUUUGUUAGUCUUUAAGAUUACAAAUAAUUUGUUUUGCUUUUUAUUACUUCAGUUAUUAGUCAGCAUAUGGCAAUCCUAUAUAAGUAUCUUAUACUCUGUUGUUAAUGUUGUUAGGUCUCAAUAUUCUGACAAAAUUAGGAAUAAGGUAUUCCACAAAAUAGACUACUUGGAUUAUUGAUUCUGUAAAAAAAAUAAUAGCUAAGUUUUUCUGAGAAUACUUUUCUAGUGUAUAAAAUACUUCUUGCCUUAUUGAAGCAUGGUACAUAAUUUAAUGUUUUACUGAUGACUCAAGGUCAUCAUUGUGCAUACCAAAUGUACAGUGUAUGAUAAAGUAAUUAUUUGAGGCGACAUUUGCCUCAAGUGACUACACCUUUUUAAUUCUUAGGUCAGUUUGUUCUAUUUACUUUUUACAAUUCUUCUGUAUAUUUUAUGGUUCCUCUGCCUUGCCCCUUUCUGUCAAACUGUCAGUUGUCAUUUCUUGCUGCUCUCUGAUGGCCCACCAAUAUGGUCAUGCCCUUCCUAAUUUUCUGCUUCUAAAUUAUUCUAGAUUAGAAAGUCAAAUAUUCCUGCUUUUUAGAACUGUAUCUAAAAAAGAAGUCAAGAGUUUUUAGUAGGGGUAUGUGUGUCAUAUACCAAGUUCUGAAACAAGGAUAUUGAGUUAUUUCAUUUGAGAUACCUAAAUAUUUAAGACAGGUACAGUCUUAGUGUUUGUUAAUUGAAAAAUAAAAAGAUCACUUGUAGAUGAAAGGUUUUUUUCUGUUAAACCUUAUAAAAUAAAGGAUUAUGAUGAGCAAUAUUUACACAGAAUUAAUUUGGAUUUUUCCCUGAAGUAGGCUUGUUGUCACAUAACAUUUAAAUUUUAUAUCUGUAAAGAGUCUUACAAAAUAUGCAUUGGCCAAGAUCUCAUAUGAUCCUUUAGCUCACAAAAGGGACCUAAGUAUCAAGGCUCAGUGGUUUUUCUCUUAUUUACGCAGCUAAAACUGGAGAUGGUAUGCUAUCAGUACAUUGUUUUCUAUAGUGCCUGGAUUUCCCAUGUGAAAACAUCUAAGUAAACCUGGUCUUCACUAAUAUUACACAUAUUGUCAGCUGAUGGAUGUUUUUGAAAGAAAAGCAAAUUAUUCACUAAUUAUUCUUUAAAUCUCUAGGACCUUGAGCGUUUUUGGAUGGAUGAGUACCUAAACAUCAACUUGAAACUCCAAGAAGACCAUAUGGGAAUAAUGCCUAAAUUGUUUAUUCAAUGCUUUAAACACAGUUAUUUUUGUCAUCUUUAAUGUAUCUACUUUGUUUAAUAGCAGCAUUUAGUCAUUGUUCUUCACUGGCUAAGGCAUAUAAUGUGCUGUCUCGUGUAACCAAGUGUCAUUAGAAGCAAAAUCUUCAAUAUCUAAUUUACUAAAUCUAAUUUUGCAGUUUUCAAUCUGAAAUGCAAAUUUAUAAAUUUAUAAACAUUUCACUUGGUGAAAUUUCAUAGAAAGGUUUUAAAAUCAAAUCUUUUUUUUUCCUUUGCUAAGUAGGAUGAAACUGAUUGUUCUGUGUCUUGUGGAGUUUGAGCUCCUAAACAAAAAUUCAGUGAGAGGAUUCUAGAACUCUUUGGUAUAUAAGAAAGGUACUUGCUUCAUGGGAAAUUUUCCUCAGACUCAGCCCUUGUGGAUUAUCCUUUAAAAUGCUUUCAUCACUUUUGCCUUGCUGCCUUCGAUUGCAAUGAGCCUAACCCUUGAAUGUUGCUGAAUUUAUAGCUCUGUAAAACAAACUCUUCUGGCAUUUCCUACACACAAUUGGGUUUCUUAGCUGCUCAAAAGAUUUGAGCUACAGUAGUUUGUUUCAUUAUUAAAGACAUAUGAUGCCUGUUGAACAGAUUUCCCCUUGGGCAACAGAGCUGAUAAAAGAAUAAAGAAUUUCAAGAAUCUGUAUCUCAAAAAUAAAUCCCAAGGUAUCUUUUACUUUUUUUUGACUUGGGGGGAAGCUUACAAAAUAAUUUCCAUUUUUAUUUAGCUUUGUACUUAUUAUGGAGCUGUGGGAGAACACAGCAUUUACCAGAUGAAAUUGUGCCAUUUGAAAUAAACAUGUGUUAUUUUAACUUUUGGCCUACAUUUGAUGACAAUAAUGAGACCUUCCUAAAAAUGAGAACCUGAAGUCAGCCCUAAUCGGAACCAUGAUUGCAGUUAGUAUAAUUCCAAAGGAAGCGAAUGUGGCUACUCUUCAAUGUUUCAUACUCCUUCCUUGAACAUAGUCUUUACAUUAGGUAAUAUUUUGUGUGUGUGUGGUCACUUGUUUUAAUGGUCACAUCUUACAUUCACCAUAAUGCUUUAAUGUCAGUCCUGUGGUUCUGUGAUCUUAGUGUCAUAGUAUUAAAUCUAUCAGACUGCUCAGCCCUUUGCAAGCAACUGAGAGACAAAGACUGCAAACUACAAUGAAGUACUGCAUAUUUGUUUGCCCAAGGAAAAAGCCAAUCCUAAUUUAGAUGUGCUUCUAUUUACUAGGCUACUUGGCUUUCCAUGGGCACAUUAAAUGACCAAGAGACUCCAUUUGUUAUUGAAAAGGACAGGAGCUGAAAUGAAAAGGGUUAAUUUGCAAAGGUAGGACAUCUGUUAGAAAUCAGCCCAGAAGCAGGAGCUGGCUGUAUUCCAAGAGUGGUUUUUCAUCUGCCAUGGAGUUGGCCAUUGACAGUUAAACUUGGAUCUAAACUUCACAAGGCAGAAAAACACAUUCUUGAAUUUAACAUUUAGUUCUUUUAGCUAUCCAAGCUGAAGGUGCUAGAGCUAUACAAAAAAAAUGCAGUAGCUAUACAGAGAAGUUGCUGUAGCUAUAGCUUUACAGACAAAUUGUGAAGCAAUACAGAAUUUCACUUGAGAUGAAGUCCCCAAACUUUCCUAAAUCUGUUUGUAUCCCAGCCAUUAGCCUAGGCUUCCAUUAAGGGCCUUACAUAAAUGUAUGUUCAGUAGAUAGUUGUUAAAUGUAAAAACUCGAAAUUAUUUUCUUUAUUAAUUUUAUUGGUACAUUUUAGGUAUACAAUAUAAUGACAUUCAUCAUUGGAAAUUUGCAUAUUUACAUAAGCUCUCUUGGUUCUUAUUUUUUCCUCAUUCUUCUGCCCUCCCUUCAACCCCUCCAUCCCUGCCUAUUUACAAAGACUUUGUUUCCAUUUUUGCAUUUUCUCAUAUUAAUUCCUUUGCCCUCCCCCUCCCACUUCCCUUUCCCCUUUGCCCCUUUUCUUCCUAUUUCACAUUAUCUAUUAUACCUUUUAGUCUUUAUUUACACUUUCAGUUUCUCACUCUCGAGAAACUAUUCGGUAUUUACACAUGUGUGUCCUAUUUAUUUCACUUACAAGUAUCACUUCAAUGUGCAUCCAUUUAGCUAUAAAUGUCUCUGAUUUCUCAUUUUUAUGGCUGAGUAGUACUCCAUUUUAUUAAAAAAAAAAAACACAUUUCCUUUGUCCAGUCUCCAGUUGAUGGGCACUUGGGUUGCUUCCAAGCUUUAGCUAUUACAAACUCUGCUGUGAUAAACAUAGGUGCACAUAUAUCACUUUGGUAUGAUUCUUUUAAUUUUGGGGGGAAGAUGCCCAGCAGGGGGAUAGCUGGGUCAAAUGGGACCUCCAGUCCUGGUUCUCCAUACUUGAGGUAUCUCCAUACUGAUUUCCACAGUGAUUACACCAGUCUACACUCCCACCAGCAGUGGAGAAAUUUCUGUACAAUUCUGUCAUGUAAAUGGCUAUGAAAAAGUAUAUUUCUUUAACUUAAUUUUGUCCACAAGUUUUCCUUUGGAUUGUUUCAGUUUUACAAAUCUCUGUUUGGGAAACUACUAAAAUAAUAAAAUCAUGGAAUUUUAAUGGCUUUUGAAAGAGUCUUGUGUUUCCUUCCCUGGUUGAGAUAGGGUCCUAUACUUGUCCUUGAACCACUCAUGAUAAAUCUCUUUGACUCCAUAUAUUCUGCUUCCCAUCCCUAACAGUGAGAACGCUGAAAGCAAAACUUACCAAAAUUGUUUUAAAGAGAAAAAACAGAAUUUUGGUUUCCAGAAUAAAAAUGCAUGCUAAAUGGACAAAAAAGGAUGAUUACUACAGUUUAAGGAUAUGCAGGAAUUAAAUAGCCAUACUAUGGUGUUUAUUUUAAUGGAAAUCUUAUUCUACAAUUAUUUUCUAUUAUUCUUUACCUUCUUCUCUAAAGCAUGAAGAUACCAGAUUUCUUCUUGCAAUGUAAUUCAAAGGGUUGCUUAUGUAAAAUGAAUCUAGAGAGUUUAUCUGAGAACACCGAACCCAAAUCUUGUUUGUCUUGUCAAAACCUCUGACACAUGUGCUAGGAUAUGAUACAAUGUGUAUGUUUUGACUUUUCAAUAUUGUUUCUUAGCCCCUAAUGAUAGUCGAAUGAAUGCAUCACCAGGCUGUAAUCAGUUCUAGGCUAGGUUUUAACAGUUUAUGAUGUAGUUUCUCUGAAGGAAUUGUUAGAUCAAAUAAUUGGCAUUCUGAUCUCUCAAGAAUGUUUCAUUUUUAUAGUGAUUAAAAAAGCCCAUUUAGCUGAUUUGUAAGCCUUGCAAGAACUUGCUUAUUAGAAACUCAUCAGAGUUCUAUGCAGAAGGGCCAUUUUAUAUGGGUAAAGGGUAAGAAGAGUUUAAAUCUUUUUGAAGUUAUUUUUUAGUCUUAGAUGCAAAUCACCCAAUGUCUACAUGUAAAUUAUCUCUGACAUCACCUCGAGGUUAAACAAGCUUGUUUUUAUUUCACAUCUUGACCUCUGAACAAAAAGACUUUAAAACACAUCACUGCCCUCUUGCUAAUCUAAGACUUAUCUUCUAAUACCAUUGCUUUGUAAAAUCAUACUGGAAAAUAAAUCAUUAUGCACUUCAAUAAGCAACUUUCCUUAGUUUAAGAACUCUCCUUCUGAAUUCUAGAGUCAGGGCCUGAGAGUCACGGAAAACAGUUGGACACCAAUUUCCAGAGUACAUUAAACAAUUCAUUUACUUUCCUAGCAUUGAGCUCAGAGACUAGAAAAUUCAAUUAUCCUAUCCUCACUUGUACUGACUUACUCAGAGCCCCUUCCAGCUCCAGAAUACACCAUAAGAAAAUAAAACUUUCUAGAGCACUCACAUCUCUCACCUUCAUUAGUAUCUCUUUUGUCAAAUUCUCCCUGGCUUGCUUGUCCUCAUCCUUUUCUUGAAGACUUUUUGGUCUCUUUCUCAGUAACCAGUUCUAUUGCAAAGGAUACCUUACCUCCUUUGUUAUAGAAAAUAUCCUUUUCUACUUUCUAUCUCUUCUUUUACUUUAUUAAGUAUAUAUCUAAAUAUUAGAAAUGAUUGGAAGAUGUUUUUGCCUG
rnacentral:lncRNA from 1 species